ensembl:lncRNA
CAGGUUUGUUUGCUUGUUUUGAGACAUGGUCUCCUUAUGCAGUUCAGGCUGUCUUUGAACUCAUUGUAUAGCCCAGGCUGGCCUCAGACUUGCAGCAGUCUUCCUGCCUCAGCCUCCCAAGUGCUGGGAUUACAGGAAACGACUUAGAGGCCUUAUGAAUACAUCCGUGCAUUCUUGCUUCAGACUUUACAAUUGAAGGCCAACCCAGUCUGGAAGCAACUCUUGUUACUGUUAUAAGGAAACCGCUACCUCAGCAAACAAAAGGAAAGGAAGACUUGUAAUAACGAAUGCCAUUUUUAAAGAAAACUUGUUUUCAGAAAACAGUACAGGAAAUUUGGAAAUUUUUAGUCUUGAGGAGAAGCUUUACAGGCAAAUGAUUUGACAGGCAGGCUCUGUCAAAAUAAUGCA